UUAAGCCAUGCGAGUCGAACGAGUUUAGGCUCGUGGCGUACGGCCCAGUAACACGUGGAUAACCUACCCUUAGGACCGGGAUAACCUUGGGAAACUGAGGAUAAUACUGGAUAGGCAAUUAUUUCUGCAAUGGUUUUUUGUUUAAAUGUUUUUUCGCCUAAGGAUGGGUCUGCGGCCGAUUAGGUAGUUGGUUAGGUAAAGGCUUACCAAGCCGUUGAUCGGUACGGGUUGUGAGAGCAAGAGCCCGGAGAUGGAACCUGAGACAAGGUUCCAGGCCCUACGGGGUGCAGCAGGCGCGAAACCUCCGCAAUGUGAGAAAUCGCGACGGGGGGAUCCCAAGUGCCAUUCUUAACGGGAUGGCUUUUCAUUAGUGUAAAGAGCUUUUGGAAUAAGGGCUGGGCAAGACCGGUGCCAGCCGCCGCGGUAA
rnacentral:rRNA from 1 species